rnacentral:tRNA from 1 species
GCCGGGGUAGCUCAGUGGUAGAGCACUGCUCUGAAAAAGCAGUGGUCGAAGGUCCGAUUCCUUUCCCCGGCACCA